GCAUGGGUUUGGAUUUACGGCAGGACCUCUCAUAGUGUCCCAUGCCAGAGCAAACUGUAGCCCCAAACCAUUGCUUGGCCUUGUCCAUAGGUCUCGGCCCUGAAGCGGGUUGCACAGUA
rnacentral:snoRNA from 1 species